rnacentral:rRNA from 1 species
UACGGGGGGAGCAAGCGUUGUUCGGAUUUACUGGGCGUAAAGGGCGCGUAGGCGGUCAGCACAAGUCAGUUGUGAAAUCUCCGGGCUUAACUCGGAAAGGUCAACUGAUACUGUGCGACUAGAGUGCAGAAGGGCAACUGGAAUUCUCGGUGUAGCGGUGAAAUGCGUAGAUAUCGAGAGGAACACCUGCGGCGAAGGCGGGUUGCUGGGCUGACACUGACGCUGAGGCGCGAAAGCCAGGGAGCGAACGGG